rnacentral:lncRNA from 1 species
AGGGGUGGAAACGAGCCGAGCUUGAGCGAGCUUAUGUCAGCUCAAAUUCGGCUUGAAAUUAAUUUCGAGCCUAAAUCUAGGCUCAAGCUCGGCUUGAAAUUAAUUCGAGCCGAGCUCGAGCGAGCCUAAUUUCGAGUCGAGCUGUGCUCGAGCUCUAAACGAGCCGAUUGAAAUUCUCGACAUUAUAUAAUCAAUAGUUUAAUUUUUAAAGAACAUUACCUACAAUUUGAUGCAACAUGUCCAAUAGUUCAAAAUACAAAAUAAUUAUAAGAAAGUAAGCUAUGGUGACUUCUUGACUUGAUGAUUUUAUAGAACAUUACCUACAAUUUGAUGCAACAUGUCCAAUAGUUCAAAAUACAAAAUAAUUAUAAGAAAUGUAAGCUAUGGUGACUUCUUGACUCGAUGAGGGUUCGAGAGAGAGAGAGAGAGAGAGAGAGAGAGAGAGAGAGAGAGAGAGAGGAAAAAAAGUAAGGAUUUGAAAAUUUGAAUGUUAUCAUGUUUUAGGGUUAUGUGCAACAGUGAAAGUCUGAAAGAGAGAGUGUGUUAUGUAAAUUUAGAGUUGGGCUUAAUUGCACGUUUGUACUUGUUGGGUUUAUUUUAUGGGCCAACAAUAAUGGCCCAAAUUAAAUUAAAGCCUAUAUAUAAUUAAAAUACAUUAUAUUUAUAAAUAUUAUAUAUAUAUAUAUAUAUAGAGUCCGGCUACUAUAUUUUUAUGAGUAUUGGCUCCUUUAUACUCAUAAGUUUUCGACCCUUAAAUUUAUUCUAUUAAUCAUUUUCAUUCGUUAGAUCAUACUAUUUAACCAACUACCCACUCAACCCUAGGGGACCACUAUCAUUCUAAGUGGGGACUACCAUCAUCCUAACCACACAUCCCAUCAAUCAACGGUUAACAAUUUAUGAGUACAAGGGGGUCUAUACUCAUAAGAGUAUAGUAGCCCCGGCCUAUAUAUAUAUAUAUAUAUAUAUAUAUAUAUAUAUAUAUAUAGAGUGAGGCUACUAUGCUAUCGGAAGCACGG